GAACGACCCUUAGUGUGGAGCUCUG
rnacentral:sRNA from 1 species